CACGUAGUUAGCCGGGGCUUAUUCGAUGGGUACCGUCACAUUCUUCUUCCCCAUCAAAAGCGGUUUACGACACGAAUGCCUUCAUCCCGCACGCGGCGUCGCUGCGUCAGGGUUGCCCCCAUUGCGCAAGAUUCCUAAUUGCUGCCCCCCGUAGGAGUCUGGGCCGUAUCUCAGUCCCAAUCCGGCUGAUCGUCCUCUCAGACCAGCUACCCGUCGUCGGCUUGGUAGGCCAUUACCCCACCAACUACCUGAUAGGCCGCAAGCCCAUCCAGAAGCGCAUAAAACUUUAGACAAUCGGUGAUGCCACCAAUUGGCCACAUGCGGUAUUAGCAGCCCUUUCAGGCUGUUGUCCCCCAUUCUGGGCAGGUUGCCUACGUGUUACGCGACCGUUCGCCACUAAUGGCCGAAGCCAUCCGUUCGACUUGCAUUUCUAGGCACGCCGCAAGCGUUCGUCCUGAGCCAGGAUCAAACUCU
rnacentral:rRNA from 1 species